rnacentral:tRNA from 1 species
GGAGGGGUAGCUCAGUCUGGGAAAAGAGCACUUCUUGCCAAAGAAGGGAUCGGAGGUUCAGUUCCUCUUCCCUCCUCCA